rnacentral:sRNA from 1 species
AAAGGGACUUCUAGCCGAGGUCUGGGGCCAGCAGGUCAGGGCUGACUUCUUUUAAAACCCCUAUUUUCUUGUUAUUAAAAUAAAAUAUAUCAUUGUAGAAAAGAAAACACAGAUGAAUGAAAAGAAGAACAUAACAGUAGUUAAUUAUACCUGUAGUCCCAUCACCUGAGAAAACCCCAAUUCACAUUUUUGGUAUAUAUCCCCCAAUUUAUUUUCCAUGCCUAUACACACUACAUGAUAUUUUCUAAAUGGAAGCAGACUCCAUCAUUUCACCCUGGCAGGCGGGUAUCUGGCACACAGCCUGGCCAUCAUGACCGAUGCAGCCCACUUGCUGGCGGAUGUGGGCAGCAUGAUGGGCAGCCUCUUCUCCCUCUGGCUCUCUACCCGUCCAGCCACCCGCACCAUGACCUUUGGCUGGCACCGUUCAGGUAAGGCCCCUGCAUGGCCCAGUGACUCUCCAAUCUUGCCAGAGGGCACCUGUCAGGGUCCCAAGCAGGUCUCUGACAGCUUGUCUCCCCCUCCACCCGCAGAGACUCUGGGGGCUUUGGCCUCUGUGGUCUCCCUCUGGAUGGUCACUGGCAUCCUCCUGUACCUGGCCUUCGUCCGCCUGCUGCACAGCGACUACCACAUCGAGGGGGGUGCCAUGCUGCUGACCGCCAGCAUCGCAGUCUGUGCCAACCUGUUGUACGUCCCAGUAUGGAGCAGGCACCUUGUGGGGCCCAGGGCGAGGGGUCUUCCUCCAGGAUGGGAGAGCUGGCUCUCUCCUCCCCACCAGACACACAGACAUGCACACACAGCUCUCCAUGGACUGCCCUGGGUGUGUCUGGGAAGGGUCUGGGAUAGAGACCUAAAAUUCAGUCAGCAGAUCUCUGUUAAGGGCCUGCCAUGGGCCAGCCACUCUGAUGAGGGCUUUCAUCAACAUGAUUGCAUUUAAACCUCACAGCCACCCCAUGAGGUAGGUAGCAUUACCCCUAGUUUACCAUUAAUGCAGUCAAUCCCAACAGGUGACUUGCCCAAGUCACAUACCUAUUUAGGUAACAGGGCCAGCUUCCGAAUCCACAUGUGUGGCACCAAGUCUGGUAUUCUUUCCCCCAGGCUGCAUUGUUUAUCUCUCUUGCAAAACGCUGUUUUCUUCCAGGGGCUGGGAAAGGGCUACUGGGGAGGUGAGACAUGGAGAUGGGGGCAUAGGAGGCCAGGAGCAGGGCCCUAGGCUGAGCUGCUCUGCUUCCCCCUCAGAAUGGCCUUUGUGCUGCACCAGGCUGGGCCCCCCCACAGCCACGGGUCUAGGGGAGCAGAAUAUGCACCGCUGGAGGAGGGGCCUGAAGAGCCCCUGCCCCUGGGGAACACCAGCGUCCGGGCAGCAUUUGUGCACGUGCUGGGGGACCUCCUGCAGAGCUUUGGGGUACUGGCUGCCUCCAUCCUCAUCUACUUCAAGCCUCAAUACAAGGCAGCCGACCCCAUCAGCACCUUCCUCUUCUCCAUCUGUGCCCUUGGAUCCACGGCUCCCACCCUCCGAGACGUUCUUCGAAUCCUCAUGGAAGGUACCCCCCGCAAUGUGGGGUUCGAACCUGUGCGGGAUACGCUGUUGUCGGUGCCAGGAGUCCGGGCAACCCAUGAGCUGCACCUGUGGGCCCUUACGCUCACUUACCACGUUGCCUCUGCACACCUGGCCAUCGACUCCACCGCUGACCCUGAAGCCGUCCUGGCUGAAGCCUCAUCCCGGCUCUACUCCCGGUUUGGAUUCUCCAGUUGCACCCUGCAGGUCGAGCAGUACCAGCCGGAGAUGGCCCAGUGCCUGCGCUGCCAGGAGCCCCCCCAAGCCUGAGCCAUGGCCCUGCCCUCACCCCACUGCCAGGCCGAGGCUCAGCCCCGGACUCUCAGCAUCUGCUGCCCUGAUCACAGAGACGGGACCGAGCCAGGUCCAUACCCCUUCCUCUCUCCCUCCUUCCACCUGCCAGUUUCCCCAGCCUCAGCCCCAGCCCCAGCCCCAGUGGGCAAGACCAAAGUGUGGCGGGGAGUCGGGUGGGAGUCCGGGGAAUAGAUGUGACUAGUUCAGGGGCGGGGACUCCCAGGCCUCAGUGUGGCAGGGUGUGUUGAAGGCCUGUGGUGCCCUCUCCGCAUGGUUCAUGUGGAGCCACGAACAUCCUUUCCCUGCAGUCCAUUUGUCUGUGUGGCAGGCUGGCUGGCUGGGGGCAUCUGCCUGUCUAUGUGCUGUUGGUGUGCCUAUGCCUGGGGGAGGUCAGUAGGGGCCCCCUCCCCACAUGGCCCUCGCUCUGUCUAUGCAGGGGCCCCAAAGCCCGCACUUUGUCCGUGUGUCUUAGCCCUGUGGUUGUGUGUGUGUGUGUGUGUGUGUGUGUGUGUGUGUUCUUGGUGCUGUGGCCUGUGUGUCUCUGUGCCUAUGUGGCUGUGCUAUGGUUUCUAUGAGUCUGCUCCAUCCAUGUGUCUGUUUGGGGGUCUAUCUCUCCAUCCCUCUGUUGGUGCUGUGCCCUUGGCUAUCCCUGAAAGAGGGAGGACUCCACUGCAGCUCCACCAAUAAACUCGUGUCUCACUGCAUCUUUCAGCCUGUGUGCUGACUCCUCAGGAGGGGGAAAUCAAAUAGGUCACUUGAGAACAACAGAAUCCCUCCUGUCCCUUCCCAGCCUCUGGAGUGACCUCCCACAGACCUCCUGUCCCUUCCCAGCCCCUCCACCCUCAGAUGGAGGGUAAAAGCCACCAGUCUCUUUAUCCCCUUCCCCUGGCUCACAGCAUGCCUGGGUCCUUGGCUCAGGGACAGUCCCAUAUGCCCUGGGCUUGGUUGCAGGAGAAGGCUGGAAGGUAAGGAGCCAAGGAAUCCCUGGGAGUCAGUCGUUCUCAGAGGUCCCUGCAUGCCAGUGGGCCUCAGGCUGGCUGGAGGGAGGCUGGGUCCCUGUGAGAGAGAAUGGCUAGACCAUAGCACUGAUGUGGGCUUGGUUCUCAGGCCAUCUAAGGUGUCCAGUGGUAGGGACCCCUCAACCCUGAUAGCAGCCAACCCUGAGUCCAGGUUUAGGCUGUGAACACCAAGGACCUUUUACACCUAUUUCCCCUUUGUCUUAAGAACUGCAUAUUUUGACACAUUAAGUCUUAAAAUCAGGCUCAUUAAGGGAGUUUUGAUUUUCUCUUUUAAAAAAAUCAAACUCAAGCUGGACGUAGUGGCCUGUGCCUGUAAUCCCAGCCCUUUGGAGGCUGAGGCAGGAGGAUUGUUUGAGCCCAGGAGUUCAAGACCAGCCUGGGCAACCUAGGGAAACCCCUGUCUCUACAAAUAAUUUUAAAAUUAGCUGGGUGUGGUGGUGCACACCUGUAGUCCCAGCUAUUCAGGAGGCUGAGGCAGGAGGAUUGCCUGAGCCCAGGAGGUCAAGGCGGCAGUCAGCCAUGAUCAUUCCACUGCACUUCAGCCUGGGCAACAGAGCAAGACCUUGUCUC